rnacentral:tRNA from 1 species
CGGGGUGUAGCGCAGCCUGGUAGCGCGCUUCGUUCGGGACGAAGAGGUCGUGAGUUCAAAUCUCGCCACCCCGA